rnacentral:lncRNA from 1 species
UAAUCUAUUUUCCCCUUUUUUUUUUCCUUUUUCUUUUUAAAUUAACUGGGGAAUCACCCCACCAUGCAGAUCUACAAGGUGUCAUCGUCGCGGUGGAAAUUGCUGAAGAAUCGGAGGUUGCAGAUCUACUUUUUCUCUUUCCAUAACCUAUUUCUCUUUCCUGAAUCUGCUCUGCAUAAAGUUUUGUAAUGCAAUUGAUUGAUAAUUUACCGUUGGAACAUUAGGAAUUAAUAAUGUCAGGGUUGGUUUUCUUUUUCUUUUUCCUUGUACUGUAGACACCGUAUAUUGCAGACAUUUUGUAUCAAGUUAUCCCAAUGAAGAUGAAAAGCAAGCAUGAAAAUAGAAAAGUUGAAUAACAUUUGGAGUCGUGGUUAAAUUAUUAUUAUUAUUAUUAUUAUUAUUAUUAUUAUUAUUAUUAUUAUAGAUCUAGCAGCUUAGAGGCAAGCUUACUUAGGCAACAUAUACUUUGAGCUACUUACUAAUUAUCAUGCGCACAUCUAGUAGUUUAGUGGUAGUCCUAUCUUAGGCAACAUAUUCUUUGUGCUGCCCUUUUCUAGUUAAUGAAGUUUUUAAAGAAUGUCAAACAUACAUUGAUCUUUGAAAACUAGUCAUGUCUUGUAAAUUUUAAAUCCGCUGAGGGUUCUUUUUGAGUUCACUGGGGGAUCCAAGGGAUUGUAUAUGGUUUUAAAUAAAUGCAAGUUUUUCUUCUAUCCAAGGGAUUGUAUAUGGUGCAAAAUGCCUUUGUAUAACAUUAAGGAUUGAGGCAAAUUGAAAUAUUCUUAAAUUUGGCGUGUAAACUAGAGUUAAUUUAGGGAUUUGUAGGAUAGGUAAUUUCUAUAUUAAUAUUCAGUGAUAGGAAAUAGUAAUUUGGUAGGAGAUGUUCGGGCAAUACAAGAGAAAAUGUAGAACCCUGAUCACUCGUUUGCCCGAAACAGGAGGUCAAUUGUAAAACCAACUAUCCUUGAUAAUAGUGCUUACUUUUGGUUCUACGAUUAUAUAUAAUACAUAGAGCAAGGAUGAGUAGUGAUUUUGCUAGGAGACUUUGUAAAUGCCCACAUUUAUUCAAUAAAAUGUUGAAUUCUAGGAAGUGCUUGUAUGGAUAAGGCACCACCUAUUAGAAGUUCUAGUGUAUAGCAAUUUGAAGAAUGCAGCUAUCAUCUUGCAUGCAAACUUUCCCUUUCAAAAACUGAAAAAAGGUCUUAAUCUGAUUUGUUUCUUUCUUAUCCUUUUGUUUAAUGCUAUUUUCAUUUUCUUUUCAUUCAUUUCUCUUAUCGGUCUCUUUUCCAUCUUUUUGUCUAGCUUCAUCCCUUGGCUUAUGUUUUUUUUUUUCUUUUAUUUUGCUUUACAAUGUUUUUCUUUUUUUGUUAAGUUCAGAUUGCAUCUUUUGUUCUUGCACAUUUCUUUCAUGUAAUUUAUUUAUUGUCUACUUGUUGUUUUGAGCUUGUUUGCUUAAUGAAUUUCAUAGUGCAUCUUCGACUUGGUGUGUUUGAAUAUAUGUUAUUUCUAUAUAAAAGUACUAUUUCUACUAAACCUAUGUGAUGUUUCUAUUUUUCAAAGGUACUGAUUAUGACUUCGUUGAGAAAAAGAGAACUUAAAAGUUCCUGCUUCAUUCUGAUGAAAUAAAAUUCCCUUUUCUCCUUAACCUUUUUAAUUAGGAAUUCCCUCUUUUCUGUUCUUCUAUUUAAAAGUACUAUUUCUACUAAACCUAUGUGAUGAUUUUGUGAGUGCAUAUACUAAUUUGGUUUUUGUUGGCUGGAGGUCAUUGUCUAUAUAUUUCAUUCGGCAGCUUGGUAGUUUUUCAAGUCAAGUCUAUAUUUAGCUCAUGACCUGAUUCGAGUCAUGACACCUAUGCUAUUAGCUGGAAGCUACCCAACCCUAUCUAAUCAAGUAGCCUCUUUAUUGUAGUUUUCUUUUUAAUGAAGAAGACCGCUAAACGAAAAACUGUGUCAGUAUCUACUGCUCAACGUUCCAUUGAGGUUCGUUUUCUUUGACUUUCUUCUUUCUGCUCUUUUCCAGAAUUUACAAGGGCUUAAUCAUCCAGUUAGGCAGUGCGGUGGUUAACAGUAGCAUUUCCUACUUUGUUUACUAUGUAGUGUAUGAUUGUUGUGUUCUCUUUCAUCAGAUGAUGACAUAUAUUUUCACAUUUAAUGAUGCUUUGUGUGAGUUCUCUAACUUGUCAAGUGGUUUUAUUAGAUUAAAACAUGUAUCAACUCAUAAUAACUCAAUAUUUGGUGUGAUUUGAACAUCCAUAUCAUUGAGAGUUUGCCAGAGAGAAGUGUGUUGAUGAUCAUGUUAAAAGAGAAACAGAAGAAAGCCUGGUUGGUUGAUUCUCUGCAUUUCUCUCCGUAUGAAUCCAAGUUUAACAAUUUCAUUGUAGUAGAAGUUUCUUUUCACGAGUUGCCAUCGUUGGUUUAAGUAUACCUGUGCAUGUUAGAAGAUGGGGGUAUGAACUCCCAAUUAUCAGUAACAAUGUCCAUUCAUUAUGGCUAAGCUAGCAAUUAUGAUUUUUAGCCUUAAGUAUUGACAGUAUUAAUCCCUAUAUUUAUUUAUUUCUAUUUUGUAGUUUGUUUAUUUUUUUCCCUUGGUCUCCUUUGACAUCUUACUCAGUUUAUGUGUUAUAUUCUACAGAAUAAGUAUUCAGUCCAAUUUGAUGAUUUAUUCAAGAAAGCUUGGGAAGAAGAUGCUAGUGAGCAAGCUUGGCAAGAAGAUGCUAGCAAAGAACUGGGAAGUGAUGGUGAGUUUUUACGUGCAAACAGCCAUCGGAUAGCUGUUCUCUCAUAAGGUCAUGUAGAACUCUUGUGUAACCCAUCAUCUCCUACGACAGCAUAGGAAGCCUACUCUUUAGAUGGGAGGGCUCUUAGAAGUCCAUGUUCCCAAUGACAAUUUAAUAAGCCGAUCUUUCAAUCAGCUAGAUUUGUGGAAUUUCCCUCUUAACUUGUUACAUAUGUACUUAACAGAAUCCAGGUUUGCGAGGCCCUGCAGUUGAAGCAGAGAGCGAGGCCAUUAACGUUGUUCAUGAAGCGGAACCUCUACUGUUUCCUGAAGCUGAAACUUCUUUCGAUCAGAUAUUAUUGAAUGAGUCGGAGAAAAUCAUAGAGAAGUUUGAUGGAUUAGGUGAUGACAGCAGGAAGAAUGAAGGAGAGGUACUCUGACUCUGUGGUCUGAUAUGUUGUUUUUCUUUUUUCACUUCCAUUCCAUGGACUCUCAUGAUAUGUAAGGGGUCCCGCACUUAUAUUUUAUCAUACUUUAAAUGUCCAUGGCUGGAAAAAUAUGCAUUUGCUUUAGCUUCAAAAGUAUGGUCAGUUUUUUUGCUCUUACACUAUUAAUUCUUCAAAAAUGUCUUGUUUUACGUUGCUUAUGAGCUAUGCGUCCAUAUAUUGUUCAAAUAUUCAUAUAAUUGUCAUGUCUAGUUAAGCUUCGUUAUGCAUGCAUGUCCACAAGAUAACUGUUGCCAAGCUCUUACAACAUUUAUAAACUUAAUGGAUUAACAGCUGUUUGUUAACCUUAUCCACAUCAACUCUUCCAUAUUUCAUUUGUUAAUUAUGCUGAGAGUUCUGCGCAUUUU